CUAUCUGCAAGUCGAGCGAGCAGAACCAGCAGAUUUACUUCGGUAAUGACGCUCGGGACGCGAGCGGCGGAUGGGUGAGUAACACGUGGGGAACCUGCCCCAUAGUCUGGGAUACCACUUGGAAACAGGUGCUAAUACCGGAUAAGAAAGCAGAUCGCAUGAUCAGCUUAUAAAAGGCGGCGUAAGCUGUCGCUAUGGGAUGGCCCCGCGGUGCAUUAGCUAGUUGGUAAGGUAACGGCUUACCAAGGCAAUGAUGCAUAGCCGAGUUGAGAGACUGAUCGGCCACAUUGGGACUGAGACACGGCCCAAACUCCUACGGGAGGCAGCAGUAGGGAAUCUUCCACAAUGGACGCAAGUCUGAUGGAGCAACGCCGCGUGAGUGAAGAAGGUUUUCGGAUCGUAAAGCUCUGUUGUUGGUGAAGAAGGAUAGAGGUAGUAACUGGCCUUUAUUUGACGGUAAUCAACCAGAAAGUCACGGCUAACUACGUGCCAGCAGCCGCGGUAAUACGUAGGUGGCAAGCGUUGUCCGGAUUUAUUGGGCGUAAAGCGAGCGCAGGCGGAAGAAUAAGUCUGAUGUGAAAGCCCUCGGCUUAACCGAGGAACUGCAUCGGAAACUGUUUUUCUUGAGUGCAGAAGAGGAGAGUGGAAUUCCAUGUGUAGCGGUGGAAUGCGUAGAUAUAUGGAAGAACACCAGUGGCGAAGGCGACUCUCUGGUCUGCAACUGACGCUGAGGCUCGAAAGCAUGGGUAGCGAACAGGAUUAGAUACCCUGGUAGUCCAUGCCGUAAACGAUGAGUGCUAAGUG
rnacentral:rRNA from 1 species